UACGUAGGUGGCAAGCGUUGUCCGGAUUUAUUGGGCGUAAAGAGCUCGUAGGCGGCUUGUCGCGUCGUCCGUGAAAACUUGGGGCUCAACCCCAAGCUUGCGGUCGAUACGGGCAGGCUAGAGUUCGGUAGGGGAGACUGGAAUUCCUGGUGUAGCGGUGAAAUGCGCAGAUAUCAGGAGGAACACCGGUGGCGAAGGCGGGUCUCUGGGCAACAACUGACGCUGAGGAGCGAAAGCGUGGGGAGCGAACAGG
rnacentral:rRNA from 1 species